AUCAAACAAAGAGAUAGCUGGUUUUCCGCGAAAAUUAUUUAAGUAAUGCGUUUAAAUAAAAAAAAAAAGACAAUUAGUUUUAAACUGUCGAUUGGUAGGCACUUAAAAAAUUUAAUAAUAUUUUUUUUUUAAAUAAACAGUUAGUCUAUCAGCGCAAAGGUUGAUAGACGAGAGGGACACAGCCCAGAUUAUUUAUUAAGGUUCAAAAGUAUUUAUUAAUACAAAAGAUAAAAAUUUAUAAAAUUAAAAAGGUCGGCGUGGAGGCUGUCAUCCUUUCAAAAAAGCGUCACAGCUUAUUUAAUAAAAAUAAAUUUUUAUUAACAAUUUUGAUAUAAAUAAAUCACCGAAAUAAUAAAUUAAUGGUAGCGGAAUGUUUUGUAUAUCAUAAAAGUAAUAUUGAAAAAUAUUAUGGAGAUAUCAAAAGUAAGUAUGUCGGUAUUAGUAAUCAUAUAAUGUUGAAUCAUUGUUGUUGAAUGUCUAAGAGUUUUAAUGAAAGAAUGAAUCUCAUUAAGUUAUACGAUCCCUAAGAAGAAAAUUAAAAUUUUAUUUGAUGGAGGUUCUGAUUUGACAUUUUUGAAAAAAAUCAAGAAAUAAAUCAGAAUUUUAUCGUAUUAAAUCUGACACUAGUAGACAGGUUGAAUAAACUAAAACAACGAGAGAAUAAUAUUGAAGGAACUCGGCAAAUUUAUUCUGUAACUUCGGGAAAAAGAAUACUUUUUUAUAAUAAAAUAUAAGAAAGUGACAUUAAAGAGAGGGCGACGACUGUUUAAUAAAAACACAGGACUUUGCUAAUUCGAAAGAAGACGUAUAAGGUCUGACUCCUGCCCGGUGCUGCAAAAUGAAAAAAUUAAUCUUUUUUAAUUAUAAAUUCCAGUAAACGGCGGCUGUAACUCUGACGGUCCUAAGGUAGCGAAGUUCCUUGGCGGGUAAGUUCCGUCCUGCAUGAAUGGA
rnacentral:rRNA from 1 species